GUCAAAAUUCAAUAUCCACUAAAACAAGGAUUGAAAC
rnacentral:other from 1 species